rnacentral:rRNA from 1 species
AUUGAACGCUGGCGGCAGGCUUAACACAUGCAAGUCGAGCGAGCGGCGGACGGGUGAGUAAUGUCUGGGACACCGCCUGAUGGAGGGGGUUAACUACUGGAAACGGUACCUAAUACCGCAUACCAUCAGAUGUGUCCAGAUGGGAUUAGCUAGUAGGUGGGGUAAUGGCUCACCUAGGCGACGAUCCCUAGCUGGUCUGAGAGGAUGACCAGCCACACUGGAACUGAGACACGGCCCAGACUCCUACGGGAGGAAGCAGUGGGGAAUAUUUCGCAGUGGGCGCAAGCCUGAUGCAGCCAUGCCGCGUGUGUGAAGAAGGCCUUCGGGUUGUAAAGCACUUUCAGCGAGGAGGCGUUACGCGCAGAAGAAGCACCGGCUAACUCCGUGCCAGCAGCCGCGGUAAUUC